ensembl:lncRNA
CCUGCCGCUAACUCUGCGCGCCAGCGAGCUCGCUACGGCCCCCACCCGUUCCGAGCGCAGCGCUGAGCAGGCUCGCCGCCUAUUUUGAGAACAAAGGAUGGCAAAAUAUAGAAUCCCGGAGAGAGAGUGCGGGGGACGCCGAGACCCUCUCGCCUUGCACGCGCACACACACACACACACACACACACACACGCAGUGCACAACACACCUGGGUCUGUCUACCUCGGGCAGACGCUCCUUGAAUUCAGGCUCUUUCAGGGACUUGCUGGGGUGUGUGACCAGAUCCCCGGGGCAAAAGAUAGGCCCAGGUCACGGCCUCCGGCUCUGCUGGGUUUGAAGGACGACCUCCCUACCGCCGCCCAGCCAUCCGUCCCGCGGGCAGGAAGACCUGGAACCACAUGCCCAUCCCCACCCACAUCUACAGACCCAAGCGGGAGGAGCUCCUUUCUCGGACAGCAGGCGCACCCCUGCGCUAUCCCCACCCCCCACGCCCACGGCGGCUCCCGGACCCCGCCAGAGGAGAAACCCUGCAGGGAUCCAGCUUGCCGCCAAACCACAGUUUGGCCACCCGGUACUCUCUGGCAUCCGGAGAGAACUGAUCUCAACGGAAGAACUGGUCGGGUUUGCCGUCACAGAUUCCACAGUCGUUUAUGCUGGGGAGCGAACGACUUUUCUGAGCGUCACCUCACUCCCGCUCUUGGCGAGGCCCGAGACACACAGAAACGUGAGCACCCAGCCUCAGAGGUUCUUUACUAAGCUCUUCGUCCUCCCGUGACUGGGCUAUUGACUCAACCUCUGAGAGGGCCUUUCCUUCUCCGAGCUGCGGUGGAAAAGCUGGUCGUAAAGCUCACUCCAGAGUUUGCUGUGAAGAUGACAAGAGAUGACCCGGAGAAUGUGCUGGAGAAAUGACGGGCGCUCUGUUCCUGGUCCUGACCCUCCUGCGGGUAGUGUUUUUUCAGCAGGGAGUGAACCCAUGCUCCCCAAUAUAUAUACUUCCUGGCCACGUCUUUGGGGGAAAACUGGUCAAAGGACAGUGGGGAAACAGUGCCAUGAAGUGCCCCAGCCCCCCAAAGUCUGGCCUCUUUGGUCUUUUCCUCCAUGUUAUCAGCCCAGGGACCAAAGUUGAAAAGUAGGUUUCUAAUGCCUUCAGGGGCUUCCCAGGUGGCACUCGUGGUAAAGAAUAGACAUGAGUUCCAUUGCCUGGAGGAGGGCAGGGCAAUUCCAGUAUUCUUGCCUGGAGAAUCCACAAGGACAGAGGAGCCUGGCGGGCUACAGUCCAUAAGGUCACAAAGAGCCAGACAUGACUGAAGCGACUUAGCAUGCAUACAGUGCCUUCAGAUUCAAGUUCAGUGGCGUGGUGGUGGCUGGGGGUGGGGCAAUAUGGUAUGGCUCUGAUUCCCUUUCUUGAGGCUUAAUUUCCAGCAGACCAUGCACCAAGGCUACAUGGUCUGGCAUGCCCUCCACCGCUGCCUUCUCACCCACAGCUCCUGUCCCACGGGCUAGGGUCAUCAUCUGCCUGUUUGGUUCCCCACUGACCAUGGCAAGGCCAUGUGGCACAGCACCUCCUGGUACAGUGCCUGGCACAGCAGCUGACAUUGAUUACUGGUAACCCAAUGAUUGACAGUCCUUCUUUGGGGAAUCUCCUGCUCCAGCCUAUUUCCAUCUCUCUUUCCACAUCAAAGUCCACCCAGUCCCCAAGAAAGUGAAGUUGCUCAUUCAUGUCCAACUCUUUGCGACCCCAUGGACUGUAGCCUGCCAGGCUCCUCCAUCCAUGGAAUUUUCCAGACAAGAGUACUAGAGUGGGUUCCAUUUCCUUCUCCAGGGGAUCUUCCCAACUCGGGAUCGAACCCAGGUCUUCCACAUUGCAAGCAGACACUUUACCAUCUGAGCUGCUAAGGAAGCCCCCAGUCCCCAAGACCAAGGUCAAAUGCUGACUCUUCCACGCAGGCCUCUCUGUCCCCAGGGAUAUGCAUUCAUCUCUCCCUAGUCCCUGGAUCAGUUGGAAAAGACUCUCAUGGCUUCGACCAUGUUCUGCCCUGAAUUACCAUUCUCUCUGUAAAUUCUACACCUCCCUGCUUGGUUGUCACUUCUCAGAGUCAGAAUUGGGUCUUGCCCAUCUCUACGUGGCUUACAUUGCCCAGCUGUGCCCACCCCGGGCACACAGUAGAUGCUCAGGAGAUGUUUGUUGAACUCAACUCUGCAGGUCUGUUCACCAUUUCUUAGCUGAGGGCCUGACUUGAGGUGGACACUGAUGCUGAUGGUGGUAUCUCUGCAGAUCUGGGCUGAGAGAAACCUCAGCAAUCUUGUCUGGAGAUGCCCCACUCCACCCAGACCUGAGGAGGCAGGCCCUGACAGAGUGCCUGUCCUGCUUUUCUUCCACCCUGGGAGGAAGUUCAGAAUCUGUCUGGCAACCUGGGAGUAUGAGGGGGAGGUGAUGGAAGGAAGAAAAACCCACUUGGGUCAGAGUCACCAUCUACCCAAUCAGCUGUUUGAAACAAAAGCCAGGGUCUUGCAGUGAUGGGACAGACCCUGGCCUCAUCUGGACUCACAGCAGCAUUUGCUGCUCAGAGAACCAUGAUGAGCUGGUGACUGUGGGUGAAGAAGGUGCCCUGCCGCAGCCAGCCCCUCCACAUACACCUACAGGCCUGUCACUGGCUCUGUUUGUGGUCCUUCUUGGCUGCAGUUCUUCCCCAGACUCUCAACUCUGCAACCUAGUCAGCACAUCUGGGGUCUUCUCAUGGAACACUCUGGUCCUCCCAGGUGGGGUGCGGAGGAGUACUCUGUGCAGGGAGGGGCCACGACACCCCCACUUGGCCUCCUAGAUGCAACUCUCCUUGAAUGUGUCUCCACAGCCAUCACAGGGGCCAUCUGAUGACAGUUUCACUCAGGUUGCCUCAGGUAACCAACUGUGUUGUGAGGAGAUGCCUGGGAGUAAGGCGGUUGGGAUGUCCUGUGUGUGUUCAUUCCUGAUGGGCCCUGGCACACAGGGGAGCCUGGAGGGCUGUUUGGCUCCGGGGUCUCUCUGACUGCCUGGGCUGUCUUGUAGCCCCAAGGCAGCAGGAACUCCAAGAUUCCAGGUUGGAGUGCUGCCUCCAAGGCUGCUCAGCAGCUCACUUAUCCCUGCUUCCUGGCCCGCUGUCUGCAGCUCUAGUUCAAAUUAUUAAGAAGCAAAGAACUUGAAUGACUCAGGUUAGCCUGGGUCCCUGGUCAGCGAGAGUGUCUGCCCCAGGUCAUCUCUGGGUGCUUGGGAUGUCCAGAGAUCUACAACCUUUGUCUUCUAGGACCCUGAACUCAGGCCACUCCACUAGAUUGGAGUAGGAUCCAGUGGGGCUGCCCUUGGCAGAGAGGUAGGAAUGGGGAGUCUCUUGGAAAGGUUCCUUUGAUGUGUUGGGCACUUUGACUGGCCUGUCCAAUACCGUCAUGUUCUGGAAUAGACCUUGACUUCUCCCUCCAUCCCAAGCCUGAGUGAAUCGGGAAACUCAUCACGUGGACAGCAGGUUUCAUUGCUGAGCUGAUGUUCACACCAGGCCCCUCGUAGGGCCCAAAGGAACAGUGGCUGACCUCACCGUGUGCAGCUGAUGGCCGUGGGACCGGAACGGCCAAAGGUGUAGGGAACAGCCUGCCAGUCUCCCCAGAGGCUGCUCUCUGUGCCACUCAGCCCCUAUUUAGUCUGCAAGAACAGGUUUGGUCAGAGAAGACCUGGGACUCCUGUGGAACACAGAUCUGCCAGGAGAAGAGGCAUCUAGCCCCGCCACUCUCACCAGAGGCUUCAUCCUGAGCCCACAGAAGGCCUCUCAUCUGAUGCCUUCUUAGCCUCUCUUGCCUGGCAGUCUCCUGCAGCAAGCAAGGAUGCCACAUCCUUCUAAGUUCUUCCCAACAAGGCAGGUGGAAAAGCUGAGCAGCAGAUGAUUAAAUUUGGAAAAACCUGCCAAGGAUCCAGUGGCAUGAAGCCAAGAGCUGGAUUCAAACCGAGAGGUAGAAUAGGUGCCAGCUCAGCUGGUGUGGACACGUUUGGCAACUGACAUUUCAAAAAUGUAGCCCACUCCAGUACACUUGCCUGGAAAAUCCCAUGGAUGGAGGAGCCUGGUAGGCUGCAGUCCAUGGGGUCACUAGGAGUCAGACACGACUGAGCAACUUCACUUUCGGAGAAGGAAAUGGCAACCAGCUCCAGUGUUCUUGCCUGGAGAAUCCCAGGGAUGGGGAUGCCUGGUGAGCUGCCGUCUGUGGGGUCGCACAGAGUUGGACACGACUGAAGCUACUUAGCAGCAGCAGCAGCAGCACUCCGGCUGGAGAAAGCUGGCUAGCUCCACAAAGGGAGGUGACUCUUGGACUAAACCUCAAAAGGAGGCCAGAGGAGGUGGACUUGGGAUACAUUUGGAGAGGUGAUUCUCAAGGGGGUGGAGAAUGUAGAGUCUUGCCCCCGCCCCAUGCCCCCACCCACCAGGAGACAUUUGGCGGCGUCUGCAG